rnacentral:rRNA from 1 species
GACGAACGCUGGCGGCGUGCUUAACACAUGCAAGUCGAACGGAAAGGCCCUGCUUGCAGGGUGCUCGAGUGGCGAACGGGUGAGUAACACGUGGGUGAUCUGCCCCUUACUUUGGGUUAAGCCUGGGAAACUGGGUCUAAUACUGGAUAGGACCAUGCUGUAGGUGGUGUGGUGGAAAGAUUAGUUUCGGUAAGGGAUGAGCUCGCGGCCUAUCAGCUUGUUGGUGGGGUAAUGGCCUACCAAGGCGUCGACGGGUAGCCGGCCUGAGAGGGUGGACGGCAACAUUGGGACUGAGAUACGGCGCAGACUCCUACGGGAGGCAGCAGUGGGGAAUAUUGCACAAUGGGCGCAAGCCUGAUGCAGCGAAGCCGCGUGGGGGAUGACGGCCUUCGGGUUGUAAACUCCUUUCAGCCAUGACGAAGCCCUUGUGGUGACGGUAGUGGUAGAAGAAGCACCGGCUAACUACGUG